CACUAAGAAGCUUAUACAGCACUAGCCUUUUAAGCUAGAGAAGGGGAAUCGCCUCCCCCUCAGUGA
rnacentral:tRNA from 1 species